ensembl:lncRNA
CCUGCAUUAAAUUGCUGCCACAUGAUUGGCUGAUUGUAUUGUAUAUGUAUGAAUGAGCAGGUCUAGGCCUAUAGGUGUUCCUAAUAAAGUGGACGUUGACUGCUUGUAAUUUCGGUUCUAAAUACUGAUCGGCUAAGGUGCCUUCGAAGCUUUCAACACACACACACACACACACACACACACACACACACACACACGCGCGCGCGCGCGCACACACACAGACCUGUGACCGCAUCACUAAAAUGGAAGUUUUAAAAAACGCCCUCUAGUGGUUUGUUGCUUUAAUAAACGGUAAAACACGUUUGGCAGGUGAAUUCGAUCACGUGGUCCUCGUGACUCUGACGUCCCCGCUAACACUUCACACCAUUUUCUCUCAAAACUACUUUCUUCUCCCCUUAAAAUGAGCUGUUUGAGCUCUCUGUGCUGCUGUCUUCAAGGUCUGUCCUCCGAGGAAGAGAGACAGCCUAUACUUGGUGCACCAGAGUCUGCAAGAAUAUCUCAUUCACCUACUAAUGAUUCCCAGUACAGAAGUGGCAGGGUUAUUGUCCGGCACGUUGGUGUGACAGAUCUGGAUCAGCGCUUCUCUGACUUUGCAGAAAUGUUCAACAAGCAGCAGGAACACUAUGAGUGUAUGCAGGAAAAGCGGAAAACUCUGAUGUACCGCUAUCGCUGUGCCCCUGACAGCAGCCUGACCGAGUGCCUCCAGAAGAUUAAGGAUGAACAUGACGACCACCAGAUCAGCAUGCAGAUGAAAGGCUAUGACUUCAGCUUGGCCGUAACACCAGACGAUCUGGUGCCUGACAAGCUGAAGCGAACGCAGGAGAACAUCAAAGAGCUGUGUCAAGCCGUCAAAGCCAUCGUGGCAGCUGGAACCAAGCUUGAGGAAAUGAUCAAUUGGCUGUUGAAAUCAGAAAAGAGCCUGACUCAGCAGGUGAAUACAGAAGCUAAGACGCACCAGGAGUGUAAACGACUCGGAGGAAACUUGAGGGAGAAUCUGCGUGAGGCAUCGAGAGCUAAAGAGCUCAGUCCUUGCUACAGGGAAGAGGCCGGAAAACUUUUCAACGAGGUAGCCCUGCUGUCUGGGGUCAAUCCAUGAAUCACUUUCUCGGUAGGAAAGACAAUACAGGAUACAAUAAGAAUGAGUGAAGGAUGAUUUAGGGAAUAUAUACUGACCGUUGUAACUCCAGAAUCUACUGUAUAUAAGCAACACUUAUUUCUAAAGCACUAUGUUUAAUAAUGGAUAAAUUAUAGAAUAGAUAAAGGGUUACAGUCACAGAAAUAUAAAUGUAUAUUUGUGAAACUAUACGAAAAUGAUUUUGGAAGGAUAAAUUUGUUAGAAUAUAGAUAAAAGUGCGCUGCUUUUAUACCAAGUUGCUGUUAAAUUCUUGAACAUAAUCGGUCAGAAGGUGUUGAUUAAUUUUCUAUAGGCAAAUCACAGGUUUAUAGUAAUGUAUGUUUAUAUUAAUGUAUUUAUGGAAUGUUAAAUAUGAAAGAUAUUAAAUAUCGUGAUUUUGAUUAACACUUACAGUAAACCCUAUUAAAAACACAAUUUUUAUAUGCAUAUGUGUUAUUCAUAUAUGAUAGAGAAGUGUGGAGAAGGUAGGCUUGUGAUAUUAAAAGAAAGAAAUUAAAUGUAUUUGAGGUGCAUGGAUGACAGUCUUUGUAUACUUCUAGGAUGAUUUGUGUUCUGUAUGUAAUAUCCUUUUUUGGAAACAAAUCUGUGUUACACUGUUUUGGCUUCCAGCUGGUCUCUGUUUCUAAUAUUAGCUAGCUUUCUUUAAGUUCUAAACAUGCUUUUAUAAUAUAUAUUGUACAUUUUUAGCAGGAACAACAACUGAGGGUUUUUCAGAGAAAUAAAUCAUAAGCUGGGAAAAGUAAUCAGUUCAUAUCUGUAAUAGACCUGUGUACAAAACAUAUUACGUAUAUGAUUAACUGUAUAUAUCGAUGAUCAUCUAUUUACUAUUGAAUGAAGUAUUGAUAUGUUUUAUAUUAUUAAGAUAUCUAUAAAUAUAACUAUAAAGCAAAUAUGCCUCAUGUUCUUCUUGUUCCAUGUGUCUGUGCAG